GACGAACGCUGGCGGCGUGCCUAACACAUGCAAGUCGAACGAGAUCCAUGGGAGCUUGCUCCCGGAAGAUCUAGUGGCGAACGGGUGAGUAACACGUGAGAAACCUGCCCUGGAGUGGGGAAUAACUCGGGGAAACUCGAGCUAAUACCGCAUACCCUCGGAUGGUCGCAUGGCCGACCGAGGAAAGAUUUAUCGCUCUAGGAGGGUCUCGCGGCCUAUCAGCUAGUUGGUGGGGUAACGGCCUACCAAGGCAACGACGGGUAGCUGGUUUGAGAGAACGAUCAGCCACACUGGGACUGGGACACGGCCCAGACUCCUACGGGAGGCAGCAGUGGGGAAUCUUGCGCAAUGGGCGAAAGCCUGACGCAGCAACGCCGCGUGCGGGAUGACGGCCUUCGUGGUUGUAACCGCUUCAGCAGGACGAAAUGACGGUACCUGCAGAAGAAGACCCCGGCGUAACUACGUGCCAGCAGCCGCGGUAAU
rnacentral:rRNA from 1 species